rnacentral:lncRNA from 1 species
CCACACUCCACAAUUUUCAUUUUCCCUCCUCUCAAACAAUUUCCUACUUUGUACACCACACAAGUGAACCCUAACCUAACCUCGUGCUGCCUCCAUUCUCUUUCUUUUCUCUUCGAGACCUGAACCAAAAACCAAAAUUAGAAUCCAAGUGCCGUUAAUCUCAUUCCUCACCAUGAGGCUCCUCAGAACUCUCUCUGGUACCCCUAUAAAUGUAUAUAUGUGUAUCAGUGUGUGUAUGGAAGUAUUUAUUUUUGGAUUCGUCUUCACAAGUCACCAUCGUUUAGUGACUCAAGUGAUAGGGCGUUGAUGUUACAAAUCCUGGAUUUUUGGAUUCGUCUUCAAAGGUCACCAGUGAGUAUUUAUUUUUGGAAUUUAUGGUUUUUAAGUUUCUUAUUUGGAUAAGCAAAUCCUAGAUUUUUAUUUUUAAGUGGAAUUAAUUUUGAUGUAAUUGUGUGUUUGUGAAUGGGAAACUAGGCCUUAUUUGUUAAGGGAUGUGUAUGAUGAUACGAUGCCAGAUGGAGUGAAGCCAAAGAGGGAUACAUUUCAUUCACUUACAGUCGGGACAAUGAAAGGGCCUAGAUUGCAAGAUGCUUCCUUUUUCAGGGACGAAAUGAAAUCCAUGGGGUUGUCUUCUGAUGUAUGUUGUUUCUUAAUCUUGAUCCAAUAUUCUGCUGCCCUGUUUAUUUAUCUUGACGAUUCAUGGCGAAUAAAUGUCCUGAAUGAAACUAUUUAUAAGACAAAAAGUCAAUAUAGAGGCCUGAAUCAUGAUUGAUGCCAAAAUAAAUGAUGAGAUUGUUACUAAUAAUUAUGAAAUAAUUGAUAAAUUAAAAUAAUUUAUGUUAGUUUCAGCUAAACAUUGCCUUGUUAAUUUUUUCGUUUUAUUUUUUUUUUCCAUUCAUGAAUUGCAAACAGCAAAUUUGAUAUGGG